GUGUCAGCAGCCGCGGUAAUACAGAGGUCCCGAGCGUUGUUCGGAUUCACUGGGCGUAAAGGGUGCGUAGGCGGCUUUGUAAGUCUGAUGUGAAAUCUCCGGGCCCAACCCGGAAAUGGCAUUAGAAACUGCAGGGCUGGAGGCUUGGAGGGGGAACUGGAAUUCUCGGUGUAGCAGUGAAAUGCGUAGAGAUCGAGAGGAACACCAGUGGCGAAGGCGAGUUCCUGGACAAGACCUGACGCUGAGGCACGAAAGCCAGGGGAGCAAACAGGAUUAGAUACCCUGGUAGUCCUGGCUGUAAACGGUGCACGUUUGCUGUGAGAGGAAUCGACCCCUUUCGUGGCGCAGCUAACGCGAUAAACGUGCCGCCUGGGGAGUACGGUCGCAAGAUUAAA
rnacentral:rRNA from 1 species